AUACGGAGGGCGCUAGCGUUGUUCGGAAUUACUGGGCGUAAAGCGUACGUAGGCGGACUGAUCAGUUGGGGGCGAAAUCCCAGGGCUUAACCCUGGAACUGCCUUCAAUACUGUCAGUCUUGAGAUUGGAAGAGGUGAGUGGAAUUCCUAGUGUAGACGUGAAAUUCAUAGAUAUUAGGAGGAACACCAGUGGCGAAGGCGGCUCACUGGUCCAAUACUGACGCUGAGGUACGAAAGCGUGGGGAGCAAACAGGAUUAGAAACCCCAGUAGUCC
rnacentral:rRNA from 1 species